UACGUAGGGUGCAAGCGUUGUCCGGAAUUAUUGGGCGUAAAGAGCUCGUAGGCGGUUUGUCGCGUCGAAUGUGAAAACUCGGGGCUUAACCCCGGGCCUGCAGUGGGUACGGGCAGACUAGAGUGCGGUAGGGGAGAAUGGAAUUCCCGGUGUAGCGGUGAAAUGCGCAGAUAUCGGGAGGAACACCGGUGGCGAAGGCGGUUCUCUGGGCCUUACCUGACGCUGAGGAGCGAAAGCUAGGGGAGUAAACGGG
rnacentral:rRNA from 1 species